rnacentral:rRNA from 1 species
AGAGUUUGAUCCUGGCUCAGGACGAACGCUGGCGGCGUGCUUAACACAUGCAAGUCGAACGGAAAGGCCCACCACCUUUGGUGGUGGGUACUCGAGUGGCGAACGGGUGAGUAACACGUGGGUGAUCUGCCCCGCACUGUGGGAUAAGCCUGGGAAACUGGGUCUAAUACCACAUACGACCAUGGCGUAGGGGUCAUGGUGGAAAGCUUUUGCGGUGUGGGAUGAGCCCGCGGCCUAUCAGCUUGUUGGUGGGGUAAUGGCCUACCAAGGCGGCGACGGGUAGCCGGCCUGAGAGGGUGGACGGCCACAUUGGGACUGAGACACGGCCCAGACUCCUACGGGAGGCAGCAGUGGGGAAUAUUGCACAAUGGGCGCAAGCCUGAUGCAGCGACGCCGCGUGGGGGAUGGAAGGCCUUCGGGUUGUAAACUCCUUUCGCCCGGGACGAAGCCCACCUGGUGGGUGACGGUACCGUGGAGAAGAAGCACCGGCUAACUACGUG